AUUGAACGCUGGCGGCAGGCUUAACACAUGCAAGUCGAGCGGGGAAGGGUAGCUUGCUACCUAACCUAGCGGCGGACGGGUGAGUAAUGCUUAUGAAUCUGCCUAUUAGUGGGGGACAACAUCUCGAAAGGGAUGCUAAUACCGCAUACGUCCUACGGGAGGAAGCAGGGGAUCACUUGUGACCUUGCGCUAAUAGAUGAGCCUAAGUCGGAUUAGCUAGUUGGUGGGGUAAAGGCCUACCAAGGCGACGAUCUGUAGCGGGUCUGAGAGGAUGAGCAGCCACACUGGGACGGAGACACGGCCCGGGCUCCUACGGGAGGUAGCAGUGGGGAAUAUUGGACAAUGGGUGGAACCCUGAUCCAGCCAUGCCGCGUGUGUGAAGAAGGCCUUAUGGUUGUAAAGCACUUUAAGCGAGGAGGAGGCUCUUUUGGUUAAUACCCAAGAUGAGUGGACGUUACUCGCAGAAUAAGCACCGGCUAACUCUGUGCCAGCAGCCGCCGUAA
rnacentral:rRNA from 1 species